CGGAGGAACAUGUGUUUAAUUCGAUGAUACGCGAGGAACCUUACCCGGGCUUGAACUGCAGAUGACUUUUCCGGAAACGGGAUUUCCCUUCGGGGCAUCUGUGGAGGUGCUGCAUGGUUGUCGUCAGCUCGUGCCGUGAGGUGUCGGCUUAAGUGCCAUAACGAGCGCAACCCUUGCCGCCAGUUACUAACAGGUAACGCUGAGGACUCUGGCGGGACUGCCAUCGCAAGAUGUGAGGAAGGUGAGGAUGACGUCAAAUCAGCACGGCCCUUACGUCUGGGGCUACACACGUUGUUACAAUGGGGGGUACAGCAGGCUGCUACCGGGCGACCGGAUGCCAAUCCCAAAAACCCCUCUCAGUUCGGACUGGAGUCUGCAACCCGACUCCACGAAGCUGGAUUCGCCUAGUAAUCGCGCAUUCAGCCAUGGCGCG
rnacentral:rRNA from 1 species